rnacentral:rRNA from 1 species
UACGGGGGGAGCAAGCGUUGUUCGGAUUUACUGGGGGUAAAGGGCGCGUAGGCGGUCAGCACAAGUCAGUUGUGAAAUCUCCGAGCUUAACUCGGAAAGGUCAACUGAUACUGCUCGGCUAGAGUGCGGAAGGGGCAACUGGAAUUCUUGGUGUAGCGGUGAAAUGCGUAGAUAUCCGGAGGAACACCAGUGGCGAAGGCGACUUCCUGGCCUGUUCUUGACGCUGAGGCGCGAAAGCUGGGGGAGCAAACAGG